CCCCUCCCCCACAAGGUAGCUCUGGGGCCCAGCCACAGGGUGGCAGGGUAGCCAGCAUUUCCCAUCUUUCCUCUGCCAAGCCUAGAGCCCAUUAAGGCUUUGGCUGCAGACCCAUCCACCGAGGAUCAGUUGCUUGGACCUGUGCUCCUGUUCCCGCGGGUGUUGGCCAGAGAGGAGGCUGUCACCGUGAUCUCUGAGGACUGUACUUCACCGCCCUGACUCAAUACUUCACAUUAGUGUUGGCAUGCACUUAGGUAUCCGAGAACAUUUUCCCAGACACAAAGGUACCACAACGUGUGGAAAGAAAUUGAACAACCACCACGACUAUAGAA